rnacentral:lncRNA from 1 species
AAAAACGAAUUUAAUACAUUUUAAGAAUAGACCACGUUCAACAGACAGACAGACAGACAGACAGACAGACAGGAAGCCACCAGACCUCCAGGGCCACGUUCAGUAACCAGACAGACAGACCGUUUAGGAGUAAAUACUUUAUUAACAUUCUCCUUCAGCAACACCUCUACAGGAAAUAGAGACUCUGUUCCUGGUUCCCAUGGCUACGAGUGGUUAGUUAGUGAGACGGGCGGAGACAGACCCUCCUCUCUGCUCUGCUACAGUCUUUAAUGAGGUCCCUUUAACACAAGAGGUCCCCUGUGGUCCCGUGACCCAAACCACAGAAUACUGCUUAGCGUUAACUAUGGUGACAGGUUCUCUGAUCGUUUGGUAGAACCCGUCUCGUCUCCUCUGGGUCUCAACCUAAAAACAUUUCAAUUGUUGACUUGUGCCAAGGUCCUCCUCUGUUACCCAGAACACACUGCUUCACCCAGACAGCGUCCCAACAGUCUAAAGCAGCUCGUCUUCUCCUCCUUCUCAUCUGAAAGUGUCCUGGUCACCCUGAAAGCUAAUUCCCUCAUCAUAUAUACUCUUUAUACCCGCUUUCACUUGUCCUGUGUUUUUCCUGCGCAGACGAAGGAGGGGUGAGGAGGCGAGAGGAAGAGAAGGGAGGAAGCAUCUUCAGACUAUUGAGAUUCAGCCGGCCUGAAUUCCCUCCAUUAUUCAAACAAUUCAGUUAGCGCUCUUGACAGAUAGCAUUUAGCCAACUGUUAGCUCUAGACAAUUAGCUAACCGUUAGCUCUAGACAAUUAGCUAACCGUUAUCUCUAGACAAUUAGCUAGCUAACCGUUAGCUCUAGACAGACAGCUAGCUAACCGUUAGCUCUAGACAGACAGCUAGCUAACCGUUAGCUCUAGACAGACAGCUAGCUAACCGUUAGCUCUAGACAGAGUUAGCCAACCGUUAGCUCUAGACAGAGUUAGCCAACCGUUAGCUCUUGACAGAUAGCAUUUAGCUAACCGUUAGCUCUAGACAGAUAGCAGUUAGCUCUAGACGGACAGCUAGCUAACCGUUAGCUCUAGACAGACAGCUAGCUAACCGUUAGCUCUAGACAGACAGCUAGCUAACCGUUAGCUCUUGACAGAUAGCAUUUAGCUAACCGUUAGCUCUAGACAGAUAGCGUUUAGCUAACCGUUAGCAUUUAGCUAACCGUUAGCUUAGCGCUCCAGACUACCUAGAAUAUAAAAUAGCAUUUCUCAGACGUAUAGAAAACAUAGUGUAUCUAUAGCAACAUCAUCAAUAGAAAAACCUGCAUGGUUAGUUCCUUCAUGUUAAUAACAUGUAAUACUGGGGAAAGGUAAUGCUGUAUACUUCACUGUGUUAGGCAUCUCUCUACUCAACAUUAGGUUAUACCUUCAUCCCUCUAUGUUCACAGUUGAAGGGAUGAGAGAUGGAGGGAGGGGUAGAGGAGGGGUGGAGGGAGGGAUGGAGGAGGGAUGAAGGAGGGAUGGAGGGAGGGGUAGAGGAGGGAUGAAGGAGGGAUGGAGGGAUGGAAGGAGGGGUAGAGGAGGGGUGGAGGGAGGGAUGGAGGGGGAUGAAGGGAGGAUGAAGGAGGGAUGAAGGAGGGAUGGAGGGAUGGAAGGAGGGAGGGAGUAGGGAUAGAGGAGGGAUGGAUGGAGGGAGGGAAGGAGGGAGGGAUAGAGGAGGGAUGAAGGGGGAUGGAGGGAGGAGGGGUGAGGACGAAGGAGGGGUGAGGAGGCGAGAGGAAGAGAAGGGAGGAAGCAUCUUCAGACUAUUGAGAUUCAGCCGGCCUGAAUUCCCUCCAUUAUUCAAACAAUUCAGUUAGUGCUCUUGACAGAUAGCAUUUAGCCAACUGUUAGCUCUAGACAGACAGCUAGCUAACCGUUAGCUCUAAACAGACAGUUAGCUAACCGUUAGCCAACCGUUAGCUCCAGACAGUUAGCCAACCGUUAGCUCUAGACAGUUAGCUAACCGUUAGCUCUAGACAGACAGCUAGCUAACCGUUAGCUCUUGACAGAUAGCAUUUAGCUAACCGUUAGCUCUAGACAGAUAGCAUUUAGCUAACCGUUAGCUCUAGACAGACAGCUAGCUAACCGUUAGCUCUUGACAGAUAGCAUUUAGCUAACCGUUAGCUCUAGACAGAUAGCAUUUAGCUAACCGUUAGCUCUAGACAGACAGCUAGCUAACCGUUAGCUCUAGACAGACAGCUAGCUAACCGUUAGCUCUAGACAGACAUUUAGCUAACCGUUAGCUCUAGACAGACAGCUAGCUAACCGUUAGCAUUUAGCUAACCGUUAGCUCUAGACAGAUAGCAUUUAGCUAACCGUUAGCGCUAGACAGAUAGCAUUUAGCUAACCGUUAGCUUAGCGCUCCAGACUACCUAGAAUAUAAAAUAGCAUUUCUCAGACGUAUAGAAAACAUAGUGUAUCUAUAGCAACAUCAUCAAUAGAAAAACCUGCAUGGUUAGUUCCUUCAUGUUAAUAACAUGUAAUACUGGGGAAAGGUAAUGCUGUAUACUUCACUGUGUUAGGCAUCUCUCUACUCAACAUUAGGUUAUACCUUCAUCCCUCUAUGUUCACAGUUGAAGGGAUGAGAGAUGGAGGGAGGGGUAGAGGAGGGGUGGAGGGAGGGAUGGAGGAGGGAUGAAGGGAGGAUGAAGGAGGGAUGAAGGAGGGAUGGAGGGAGGGGGGUGAGGAUGAAGGAGGGGUGAGGAGGCGAGAGGAAGAGAAGGGAGGAAGCAUCUUCAGACUAUUGAAAUUCAGCCGGCCUGAAUUCCCUCCAUUAUUCAAACAAUUCAGUUAGCGCUCUUGACAGAUAGCAUUUAGCCAACUGUUAGCUCUAGACAGACAGUUAGCUAACCGUUAUCUCUAGACAAUUAGCUAGCUAACCGUUAGCUCUAGACAGACAGCUAGCUAACCGUUAGCUCUAGACAGACAGCUAGCUAACCGUUAGCGCUUGACAGAGUUAGCCAACCGUUAGCGCUUGACAGAGUUAGCCAACCGUUAGCGCUUGACAGAUAGCAUUUAGCUAACCGUUAGCUCUAGACGGACAGCUAGCUAACCGUUAGCUCUAGACAGACAGCUAGCUAACCGUUAGCUCUAGACAGACAGCUAGCUAACCGUUAGCUCUUGACAGAUAGCAUUUAGCUAACCGUUAGCUCUAGACAGAUAGCAUUUAGCUAACCGUUAGCAUUUAGCUAACCGUUAGCUUAGCGCUCCAGACUACCUAGAAUAUAAAAUAGCAUUUCUCAGACGUAUAGAAAACAUAGUGUAUCUAU